rnacentral:rRNA from 1 species
UACGUAGGCAGCGAGCGUUGUUCGGAAUUACUGGGCGUAAAGAGUGUGUAGGCGGUGCUCUAAGUUCGGUGUGAAAUCUCCUGGCUCAACUGGGAGGGUGCGCCGGAAACUGGAGUGCUCGAGCGUGGGAGAGGAAAGCGGAAUUCCUGGUGUAGCGGUGAAAUGCGUAGAUAUCAGGAGGAACACCGAUUGCGAAGGCAGCUCGCUGGAACGUUACUGACGCUGAGACGCGAAAGCGUGGGGAGCAAACAGG